rnacentral:rRNA from 1 species
AGUGAACGCUGGCGGUAGGCCUAACACAUGCAAGUCGAACGGCAGCACAGUAAGAGCUUGCUCUUACGGGUGGCGAGUGGCGGACGGGUGAGGAAUACAUCGGAAUCUACUUUUUCGUGGGGGAUAACGUAGGGAAACUUACGCCAAUACCGCAUACGCCCUACGGGUGAAAGCAGUGGAUCUUCGGACCUUGCGCGAUUGAAUGAGCCGAUGUCGGAUUAGCUAGUUGGGGGGGUAAAGGCCCACCAAGGCGACGAUCCGUAGCUGGUCUGAGAGGAUGAUCAGCCACACUGGAACUGAGACACGGUCCAGACUCCUACGGGAGGCAGCAGUGGGGAAUAUUGGACAAUGGGCGCGAGCCUGAUCCAGCCGUACCGCGUGGGUGAAGAAGGCCUUCGGGUUGUAAAGCCCUUUUGUUGGGAAAGAAAAGCAGCAGGUUAAUACCCCGCUGUUCUGACGGUACCCAAAGAAUAAGCACCGGCUAACUUCGUG